rnacentral:rRNA from 1 species
UACGGAGGGUGCAAACGUUGCUCGGAAUCAUUGGGCGUAAAGCGCGUAUAGGCGAGACAGUAUGUCGAGUGUGAAAGCCCAGGGCUCAACCCUAAAAGUGCGCCCGAAACUGCUGUUCUUGAGGUCGGGAGGAGGUCGUGGAAUUCCCGGUAUAGCGGUGAAAUGCGUAGAUAUCGGGAAAAACACCUAUGGCGAAGGCGGCGACCUGGACCGAUUCUGACGCUGAGACGCGAAAGCGUGGGGAGCAAACAGG